rnacentral:rRNA from 1 species
GACGAACGCUGGCGGCGUGCUUAACACAUGCAAGUCGAACGGAAAGGCCCUGCUUUUGUGGGGUGCUCGAGUGGCGAACGGGUGAGUAACACGUGAGUAACCUGCCCUUGACUUUGGGAUAACUUCAGGAAACUGGGGCUAAUACCGGAUAGGAGCUCCUGCUGCAUGGUGGGGGUUGGAAAGUUUCGGCGGUUGGGGAUGGACUCGCGGCUUAUCAGCUUGUUGGUGGGGUAGUGGCUUACCAAGGCUUUGACGGGUAGCCGGCCUGAGAGGGUGACCGGCCACAUUGGGACUGGGAUACGGCCCAGACUCCUACGGGAGGCAACAGUGGGGAAUAUUGCACAAUGGGCGGAAGCCUGAUGCAGCAACGCCGCGUGCGGGAUGCCGGCCUUCGGGUUGUAACCCGCUUUCGCCUGUGACGAAGCGUGAGUGACGGUAAUGGGUAAAGAAGCACCGCCUACCUACGU